rnacentral:misc_RNA from 1 species
GGCAAGACCCCAGAACAUGGUUCUCUGGAUAGCUGUGUCAUGUAUUCUGUUCUGCUAUGCAUCUGCAACAACAGAACUGUUACAGAACCCAGGUUUCGAAGCAUCAAACCCCACAUCCGGUUGGACAUGUUCUGGAUGCUCAAUGAGUGCGUCUGCUGACCAACAUGGUGGUCAUCAUGCCGUCAAAGUCUCGAGUCGUCAGGCCUACUGGGCUGGAGUGGAGCAGGUCGUUCCAUUGGGCCCGAACACACGGUACCACAUCGUGGCACACAUCAAGCAGCUCAACGACCUGGCGGACAAGAUGUACCAGGAGUACUCCAUAAUGAUGCAGUCCGUCACCGACAAUGGUACCCGGCUGUAUGACACCAUUGCUGUUGACAAGACCAUCUCCACAAAGUCCGGCUGGGCCUCACUAGACAGCUUCUUCUUCUACCCGUAUACAGGUGUUAGAGAAGUCAGGCUGAGGGUGAGGGGUUCAGACGCUGCAAUUAAUUUCCUGGUUGACGACGUAUCUCUCAUGGAAAUACCCGAGAACAAGAACUGGAAGUCGGAGGCGGACAUGAGGAUCGACCAGCUCAGAAAAAGCAACAUCCACUUUAAUGUGAACGUACAGCCUCAUGUAUCUCUAGCUGACUUGGAAAUACAGAUUGACUUGACUCGCCACGCCUGCCCGUUCGGAUCCCAAACCACCUGGCAGACAAUGGCAGAGUAUACGCACUAUAACGAUCUGUUCUACUACAUGUUCAACUGGGCCACCCUGUCCAACUACUACUGGCACAGCUCACCGCCACCAAGGGACAACCCGGACUACAGUAAUGCGACACACGCGCUGAAUGUCCUGCGGCAGCAUGGCAUUCCUGUGCGCGCGCACAAUAUGUUUUGGGCAGUGGAGAAGCAGACUCCAGAGUGGAUCCGAACCCUGUCCCCUGACCAAUUCAAGAAGGCGGUGGAUGACAGGAUAAACUACGCAGUCAGGGACACUAAAGGGAGGGUCCAGCACUGGGAUGUGAUGAACGAGAUGGUCCAAGGUCACUGGUACGAAGAGAAAACCAAGGAUCCUGACUUCACAAAGAAGAUCUUCGCCAAGAUCCACCAAGCAGAUCCGAAUGUCAAACUGUUCCUCAACGAGGACCACGUGGUGUCUUCGGGGGUCGCCACUUCGGCCUAUCUGGCCCUGGCCAAGAGCUUCAAGGCUGCUAAUGUAGGACUGUAUGGAUUGGGCCUAGAAUGUCACUUCAUGUCCUAUAGGCCACCAGAUCCCACUUUAAUGAAGUUGCGUUUGGACCAACUGGGAGCUGUGGGUCUUCCUCUCUGGACCACCGAGAUGGAUAUUGUGGUCCAUGACGAGAACACCCGUGCCGACUGGUACGACACCGCACUGCGCAUGUUGUUCAGUCACAAGGCCGUCGAGGGCAUCAUUUUCUGGGGCUUCUGGAGUGUCAUCCACUGGAAGGGACCGGAUGCUGCUUUAGUCAGCGGCAACAGCUACCACAUAAAUGCAGCUGGGAAACGAUACCUGAACCUGAUACACCAUGAGUGGAGUACCCACGUGAUUCACAGACUGACUUCAGGGACACAGUUCGAUAUCAGAGGGUUCCAUGGAGACUACGAUGUCAUUGUUAAGUAUCAUGGAACACCAGUAAAAAAGCAGACAUUCGUUCUUGGUAAAACAGACACAAGCGUUACAGUUGACAUCACUGACGUUACAGGCGCUGUCCACAUAGCAACAACUGCGUCCCCCGUGGAUUACCAGCGGCCAUCACCCCAACAUCACGUGGUUCAAAUAGGAGAACAUAGUAUCGGUCACGUGACAUCCAGUUCCUCCAGUCACCUGUCGUGUAUCACCAGAUUCUCCGGACUGUCGGAGGUAGCAGACGACAAGUAUGCUGAGGUCACGUGUCCGACUGGCUAUGUCCUCACGGGAUGCUCCGGUCGAAGCAAGGAUCAGCGCAGUAAUCGAGAUGGAGAGGAGAUUGUUAUGCACUCCGUUGCAGCCUGCAGGAGCGUUAAUGGCGCUUCAACAAGUGCAUGAUGCACGAGCCACACUGCCUACAAGUACACUGACGGCUCCCUCCCCGAUGCAAGCCUUCACUCAUGCCUUGCCCAGAACCAACACUCUGAAGGACGAAUCUACUCUUAUGCCGCCUGCUGUUCCGCG